rnacentral:snRNA from 1 species
AGCUUUGCGCAGUGGCAGUAUCGUAGCCAAUGAGGUUUAUCCGAGGUGCGAUUAUUGCUAAUUGAAAGUUGCUCCAUAUGUA